CCAAUCCAAAAUCUUUCCCUCCCUCCCAUCCUUUCUUCCCCUCCGCCUCCGCCUCCUCGGCCGCCGGUGACGCGCCAGGCGCUAGCCAGCCAUGUCGUGCUCCCACCUCUCCACCGCGUGGUCCUCCUCCGCGCUUGCCAGCACCUCCACCCGCCGCCGCGCCUCCACCGGCAGCAGCAGCAGCCUGGUGGUGCGGUGCUCCCUCCGGGACCUCCGCAACCGCAUCGACUCUGUCCGUAACACGCAGAAGAUCACGGAGGCGAUGAAGCUGGUGGCCGCCGCCAAGGUCCGUCGCGCGCAGGAGGCCGUGGUCUCCUCCCGCCCCUUCUCGGAGGCU
rnacentral:lncRNA from 1 species